CCCUUAGAUGUCCUGGGCCGCACGCGCGCUACACUGAGUGUCUGAGAUACGAGUCUGCCUGGUCCGGCAAGGUCUAGGUAAUCGCUAAAAGACACAUCAUGCUUGGGAUAGAUUAUUGCAAAUAUUAAUCUUGAACGAGGAAUUCCUAGUAAGCGCAAGUCAACAGCUUGCGUUGAUUACGUCCCUGCCCUUUGUCCACACCGCCCGUCGCUACUACUGAUUGGAUGUUUAAGCGAGGUUCUCGAACUGCUAGCGACUUAGCUUCGGUGAGGUCGCAGUGUGGGAAGUGAACCUAGCUUUGGUGUCUAGAGGAAGUAAAAGUCGUAACA
rnacentral:rRNA from 1 species